CACGCGCUCCAAUCAUGAAUGCAUGUUGGAUGCAUCCUGCUGCACCCGCCGUCGCAGUCAGUGGAGCAGCAGCAGUAGAUGCUCUUUCGCAAAACACAACCUUCGCCCGACCGGUCGACCGACCACGACCACCCAACAACCCAACAGCUCAACGAGAGUUUGUUUGGGGGAAAAUCUCAACCCAUUCAAGAGCACGCGGAGAAAAUUCCUCAAUGACGAAGAGAGCAUUUGCGACGAGAGAGUGCUCCACUGACUCACUGACUCUGUCCGCACCGACGACGACCCGACCGAGAGCGCGCUGGAUCAUGGUCCAUGGAUUGCUGGUUGGUCGAUUGGGGGAGCUCGAAUUAAAGCUCCCCAAUAACUGUAUCGUUAGUAUUGUGGAGUACGCGGCAUCGUUCGGUCGGUUCUUUCGGCACUGGUUCUCGUCGUGGUUAGUGGAAUGUGCUACUACUUGCUGUGGUACAAAGUUAUUCGCGCGCGCCGUGCUACGGUUUUUUGCCCUGCAGCAGCAGCAGCAGCAGCCCAUACUCAGCUGUGCAGCAGCGACUGCGAGUUCUGCUGAGUAGCAGCAAGGGCUCCCCCCGGAUUGCUGUGACUCUUGAAGAGCGCGCGCGGGUGGAGAAAGGUGAAGAGUGCGUUCGUUCGCUGCAAUCGCGCGUCCGCCCGCCAGCCCGCCUGAUUCGUGCGGUUGUGGUGUGAGUCUUUUUUUCUGGUGAAGAAAUCCGUCUCGGGUGCGAAGUUGGUUGGUGAGUGAAGUCGCAGUAAGACGAACCGGUUGUCAUAUGUUCCCGGUUGUUGUACCACGACGCGGUGACCGGUGGUAUAGUGUGUGUCGACGACGACGACUUAUGAAUGGGUCCUAGGGUAUGACGGGACGGGACGGGAUGCGGGAGUUGAAAUGCCAACGGCGACUACGGAUCCAAAUAGUUUCUGCAAAUAGAGUGGAAAGUCUGUGCAGCUGUGGUCUCUGGAGUGAGCAUUGAUUGGUGCGGUCGGUCAUUUGGGGCCCGAAAUGGGAGAAAGGGAAGAAUAUCGAUUCACUCGACGAUUGAAGAUCUGUUAGAUCCAUUAAAAGUGUAUGUGCUGAAGAGGCCAGUGUCAUAGCCGGAGAUUGUGUGGUGGAAGUCGUGUCACACGGUGCGGUGUGGGGGACGAAGGACAGACAGACAAGCGAAAACAGAAGAAGAAUUUGUUGUUGGAGCUGUGUUGCAGAGAAACGAAUAAGUUACGGAGCAUAAGAGUGGUGAGCAGUAAGGGUGUGCGGUAUGGAUUUUUUUUCGGCAACGCGAUACGGAACUUAACGUUAUGUAGAAUUCCUGAUGCUGUCGGAGAUAAAGAGCUCGUGGCUCCAGUCCCCAUGUGAGUGCAGCAGCCAGCGGUGCGGUAGUGUUCAGUGAACAGCUAGCUGUUACGAAAUCGCAAACGGGCAGCCUUGGCGAAUGAGAAGCAAAGCGAAAAUAAAAGCAGUUCAGCG